AGUGAACGCUGGCGGCAGGCCUAACACAUGCAAGUCGAACGGAAGCACAGUAAGCGUUCGCCCUUAAGGGUGGCGAGUGGCGGACGGGUGAGGAAUACAUAGGAAUCUACUUUUUCGUGGGGGACUACGUAGGGACGCAUACGCUACUACAGAAUAUGAUCUACGGGAGAAAGCAGGGGAUCUUGGGACUUUUCGCGUCUCAUUUAGACGAAGUCGCAUUAGCUAGUUGGGGGGGUAAAGGCCCACCAAGGCAACGAUACGUAGCUGGUCUGAGAGGAUGAUCAGCCACACUGGAACUGAGACACGGUCCAGACUCCUACGGGAGGCAGCAGUAGGGAAUAUUGCGCAAUGGGCGCAAGCCUGACGCAGCCAUGCCGCGUGAGUGAAGAAGGCCUUCGGAUUGUAAAGCCCUUUUAUUAGGAAAGAAAAACUGCGUAUGUAACCCCCGCUGUUCUGACGGUACCCAAUGAGAAAGCACCGGCUAACUACGUG
rnacentral:rRNA from 1 species